CUAGUACCAGGAAGGCAUCCCACUCACUUCAAGCCACGAGGAAAGUUCCACAGAAAUCGCAACAUCAAGCUCUGGAAGCUACUACCUAGACGGAGAAGUUUUUGUCAUUACUCAAAAUAACAACGCGGGUACUAGCCAACAGAGAACCCCUCGACAGAUAGCACAACUCGACAACAUCUCAGAGGACGAGUCAUUAACUAACGCCCCACAAGAUGAAACUUCCGAUCAAAGAAACCAAAGAAGGAUGCGCAAUAUUACUCGGGCUGAACGCCGACAAAUGCUGGCUACAAACAUUCCCAUCACAAACCUUGAAAGAGCAUUUGACGCAGUACAGGCUCAAGAGCACAACACUCCACUCGCAGCAAUUGCCUCAAUCAACCUUAUAUCCAC
rnacentral:lncRNA from 1 species